rnacentral:rRNA from 1 species
ACACGUCUACAUUAGAUACCCCCGUAGUCCCAGCCGUAAACUAUGCGCGUUAGGUGUAUCGGUGACCACGAGUUACCGAGGUGCCGAAGGGAAACCGUGAAACGUGCCGCCUGGGAAGUACGGUCGCAAGGCUGAAACUUAAAGGAAUUGGCGGGGAGCACCACAACGGGUGGAGCCUGCGGUUUAAUUGGACUCAACGCCGGGAAGCUCACCGGAUAAGACAGCGGAAUGAUUGCCGGGCUGAAGACUCUGCAUGACUAGCUG